AACGAACGCUGGCGGCAUGCCUAACACAUGCAAGUCGAACGAGACCUUCGGGUCUAGUUGCGCACGGGUGCGUAACGCGUGGGAACCUGCCCUUAGGUUCGGAAUAACUCCCCGAAAGGUGUGCUAAUACCGGAUAAUGUCUUCGGACCAAAGAUUUAUCGCCUUUGGAUGGGCCCGCGUUGGAUUAGCUAGUUGGUAGGGUAAAAGCCUACCAAGGCGACGAUCCAUAGCUGGUCUGAGAGGAUGAUCAGCCACACUGGGACUGAGACACGGCCCAGACUCCUACGGGAGGCGGCAGUGGGGAAUAUUGGACAAUGGGCGAAAGCCUGAUCCAGCAAUGCCGCGUGAGUGAUGAAGGCCUUAGGGUUGUAAAGCUCUUUUACCCGGGAUGAUAAUGACAGUACCGGGAGAAUAAGCUCCGGCUAACUCCGUGC
rnacentral:rRNA from 1 species